rnacentral:snoRNA from 1 species
UUCAAUGAUGAUGAUAUGCAUUUAUUCAGUUCUGCUUCAGAACAUAUUGUGUUGAGAGCAUUU